AGGAUUUUAGUUUACUCAACAAAACAUUUGAUUUGCAUUCAAAAAAUAUUGAUUUUUCAAUAUAUCUU